CCUACGGGAGGCUGCAGUCGAGAAUCUUCCGCAAUGGACGAAAGUCUGACGGAGCGACGCCGCGUGGAUGAUGAAGUACUUCGGUACGUAAAAUCCUUUUGCCAGGGAAGAAGUUUAUUGACGGUACCUGGAGAAUAAGAGGUUGCUAAACUCGUGCCAGCAGCAGCGGUAAUACGAGUGCCUCGAGCGUUAUCCGGAAUCAUUGGGCGUAAAGGGUGUGUAGGUUGUGAUAUUAGUCUUCUGUUAAAUUCUUCGGCUCAACCGGGGGUAGGCAGGGGAAACGGUAUCACUAGAGAGCGGAAUGGGUCUCUGGAACUCAUAGUGUAGCGGUGAAAUGCGUUGAUAUUAUGGGGAACACCAAAAGCGAAGGCAAGAGACUGGUCCGUUUCUGACGCUGAAACACGAAAGCGUGGGUCGCGAAUGGGAUUAGAUACCCCAGUAGUC
rnacentral:rRNA from 1 species